rnacentral:lncRNA from 1 species
CCAGACGCUGCACACCUCACCUCCACUGGAGACCACAGACCCAUCAGCAGCACACGGAGACUUCAGCCACUCACCACAGAGCAAAAGUCUCUCUCUGGCUGUCUCUCUCCGUGGUAGCUCAUGUCAAAACGAAAGACUUGCCUAACCCUCUGCUGACCCCUGGGCAUUGUGGAGGUGGAAGAGCCGUCUGUCAGCUGCCACUCCAGGACCCUGCUGCGCCUGGGAGGCUGCUCGGGGCCGGGACACCCAGGGGUGGUGUCCCCUGCCUGGAGGCAGCCAUGCAGUGUCCUUCUCACUGAGGAGGAGGGGUCGAUCCAGCCGGGGCCCUCACAGGGCUGGGUGAUGACUACAUUGGAGGACCCGAGUCCAGCCCAGCCUGGUGGGACGAAGGAGCUGAGAGAUCGCAUCAUCUGUACAGGCUUGGAGAGAAAAGAAAAGCAAGGAGAGCUGGAAUUCUACUUACCUUCUUGGUUCCGUGGGGUGAAUCCACCUAAAGCCAUCUGUAAUCUCUGAGCUGGAGAGACCAGCAAUGUGGCCAGAGUUCAAAGGGAGUUCAGCUGUAAUCUGGAUGUUACAAUCUGAGCCAAUCUAACCAUGCAGGCUCUGAGGACAUUAUUAUCAGUCAAG